ensembl:lncRNA
AACGCGGCUUGUUAUGUUACCAAGAGACCGCAAAAAGUGCGAAGUCCUCUGUCCUGAAGAUGUCGGAAAACUUAGCUCCAACUUUAACUCUGAAAGUGCUGACACUGGAGACUCCUCCCAUAAACGUUCGAUAAACAUCUCCUUACAGAAAACUGCACCGACCCGAUUAUCCGUGUCUCUAUAAUAAAUAACGAGCGACUUAACGGUAAAGAACAGAAAACCUGUUAAACCUCAAACUCUGCGGAACUCAAUCCACGUGUUCAAACGUUUCAAAUAUGCGACUCUUUAACGCAAGUUUAAACCCCCCGCUCUUCCGCGUGAGUAAUAAAGGUGUUCAGACGAGACGUAUACGAGAGAAAUGAUCCCGAAACUGUUCCAAUGGACUUUCAUGCACAUUUCUAACACCGGAGCGAUUCGCUAAAAAGUAGUUCCGGUUAACUUUUCAGAAGAUUUUGUCGUAUCCCUACACCGUCAGAGACUCAUAACUGCGCAGGUAGCGUUGACAUCACCGCACAGGCUUCUCAAUUCUACAGAUUUAGAGUCACAUUUACAAGGACGUAUUGACAGAGUUCCUUCGACUUCCGUUAGAAGCGGAUUUGUCGUAGGAAUACGAUUAGGAAGAGUUACACUAGGUGAAGUAUUUGGUUCGAGGUCGAGUAUACGGUAUGUGUGACGAUUGCACGUCCGAUCACUCCGGCUCAAUUGGAAAGGUGUACGUAAUGCUUACACACGUACACGUAUAGUCUUCCUUCCUCUUCACUUCCUGUUUUUUUUUUUUUAAUCUUUCUUUUACCCUCUCCGUAUCUGUGGCACAUUCUCAGUCUGCUAACACAACACCCGCUGCCUUUUGAAGCACGAACGCGUCCGUGUCUCGAGGGAGCCUCGUGUUGCCGUCUCCUUUAUGUUCGUACUAAUUGCCUUAAUUUAUUGACUAGUUAAGGUUUAUGAAACAAUUAAUUGAUUUCCCCGUACUCAUUAUUCAGUCCUUAGACGCUAAAUCUGCCGUGGAUCUAUUCAACAGACACGUUAAUGAUGUGUCGAGUCAACUGUGCGAAACGCAAAUCACAGAUAAAAUCAUUUCUGUGUAUAAAAUAAAUAAAUAAAUAAAUAAAUAAAACGUUUUAUGGUUUGUUUGGGUUUUUUUUUUUUACUACGGGAUAUAAAUACUCAUCCGCGAUAUCUAAUAGUCAGUAAUAUAGGAGCGCUGGUUAUUAUUAACAUGCGUUCUAUGGCACAGCGUCAGUGAGAUAUACGGAGUCGAAUUAUGUGCGUGUGUGCGUACGUAGUCUCUUAGGCCACACUGCUCUCUUUUAGUCUUCAGAAUUCAUACGUUGACCAAUCAGAGGUUACUUCCCAGUCUUGUAUCAAUUCACUAUGUUAUGUCCAGACGUGAAUUCUUCACAAAGCGCGCUACGAAGCAGGACUACUCCCAGAGCUGGAUCGAUACAGGCCUCCCAUGGGCUCUCUGGCGUGACUCCUCUGCCCCCCCCAACACACACACACAUACACAAACACACACUCUCGUCUCAGCCACGUGAUGGCAAGAGUGGCAGGCCAGGCCUGAUCUCCCCGAUCAAGAGAUCUAUUGUUUACCGCCGUUGUGCUCGGCAACUCCAGUUUCACGUAGCCAUCGUAUCCGAAUGCUUCCUUGGUUGGGAAUUUGUCCCAAAUAUCCAAACACACCUAGAGGACUCCGUGCGAGUAAAUUCCUCCAGAGGUCUCGUUGUGUCCACCGGUUUCAUAGCGAUAUCCACAUUUUUUUUUUUUGAUCCAUUGUGAUCCAUGGUAAAUUGUACAAAAUCCCACGUCGAUGUAUCCUCAACACAAUAGUCCUAAUUUUCGAACGUGUCCAAAUUCCGUUACGAAUUAAGUCCCUUUCAGGGCCUUCUCGUCCGCAAGCCGUCGUCGUCUGACAUUUUUCCAGAACGAGGCUGUGUCUCAACCAACCGUAGGCAUUUUCCUGGAGAGAAUAGAUUAUAAUUAUAAUUACAAAGCA